GUGUGAAAAACUCCGGUGGUAUGAGAUGGACCCGCGUCUGAUUAGCUAGUUGGUGGGGUAACGGCCUACCAAGGCGACGAUCAGUAGCCGGCCUGAGAGGGUGAACGGCCACAUUGGGACUGAGACACGGCCCAAACUCCUACGGGAGGCAGCAUG
rnacentral:rRNA from 1 species